AUUACUUCAGAAGUGAUAGAAAAGUGCACAACUCCUCUGUCUGAUGACCAUGAUGAGAAAUAUGGAGUCCCUUCACUGGAAGAGCUAGGUUUCGAUACAGAUGGCUUAUCCUCUGCAGUGUGGCCAGGCGGAGAAACUGAAGCACUUACUCGUUUGGAAAGGCAUUUGGAAAGAAAAGCUUGGGUGGCAAAUUUUGAAAGACCUCGAAUGAAUGCGAAUUCUCUGCUUGCAAGCCCUACUGGACUUAGUCCUUAUCUCCGAUUUGGUUGUUUGUCAUGUCGACUGUUUUACUUCAAACUAACAGAUCUCUACAAAAAGGUAUUCUCUAAAAUUAGAGCUUACUGUUUAAUACUUUAAAAAAAACAUUCUGAUAAUACUUCUUUGCUUUUUAACCAUAGGUAAAGAAGAACAGUUCCCCUCCCCUUUCCCUUUAUGGGCAACUGUUAUGGCGUGAAUUUUUCUAUACAGCAGC
rnacentral:sRNA from 1 species